rnacentral:sRNA from 1 species
UAUAAAUUAAUAAUAGUUAAACCUUUUUAUAAACGAAGGAUGUUAUGAUUGUUUUUUUUUUAAUUUUCAUUUGAUUUGUUGUUGCUGUUAAAGAUGCUUGUUGUUUCAGUUUCCUGGCUGCAUUUUAUUGUCCAAAGAAAAAGAUUUGGCUGUCAAGACUGGCAUUUGAUUUGAUCUGACAUUGUUGUUUAUUGUUUGCGGCUCUUCAAACCAAACAGCAGAAA